rnacentral:rRNA from 1 species
AUUGAACGCUGGCGGCAUGCCUUACACAUGCAAGUCGAACGGCAGCACGGGUGCUUGCACCUGGUGGCGAGUGGCGAACGGGUGAGUAAUACAUCGGAACAUGUCCUGUAGUGGGGGAUAGCCCGGCGAAAGCCGGAUUAAUACCGCAUACGAUCUACGGAUGAAAGCGGGGGCCCUUCGGGCCUCGCGCUAUGGGGUUGGCCGAUGGCUGAGUAGCUAGUUGGUGGGGUAAAGGCCCACCAAGGCGACGAUCAGUAGCUGGUCUGAGAGGACGACCAGCCACACUGGGACUGAGACACGGCCCAGACUCCUACGGGAGGCAGCAGUGGGGAAUUUUGGACAAUGGGCGAAAGCCUGAUCCAGCAAUGCCGCGUGUGUGAAGAAGGCCUUCGGGUUGUAAAGCACUUUUGUCCGGAAAGAAAUCCUUGGCCCUAAUACGGUCGGGGGAUGACGGUACCGGAAGAAUAAGCACCGGCUAACUACGUG